rnacentral:rRNA from 1 species
AUGGAUGACACAUACGAAAUGGCUCCCGUCCCCCCUCGCUCCCCUCUCCCCUCCGGCGUCCCAGCCCCACCCACCGCCUCCACCCCUCCCCCGCCUUCUACGACGGCCACCUUCAAUGACCCUCUCCGACGGCAUGACUCCCCCACCGCCAAAGCCUUGCGGGCCGCGCUCGGCGUCGGCGACGCUAUGGGUGACGACUUCCAGGCACAAGUUUGGCGGUGCCUUUCCAAGCAUAUCAACCCGCGUCGCCAUGAACAUCCCUGCUUCCUCUCCGUGCAUGUCCACCAUUUCUUCCUCUCCGUGCAUGUCCACCAUUCUUCGCUCGUCCUUGACGAAGAACUGGUGGCCGUCCUCAUGCAAGCCUGCCUGGGCGGCAACGCCCCCGCUUUCCAGGUGACUCGCCUCCAUGAUCAACUCUUUCGCAUCUCUGUAUCCGAUAUGCGCAUCGUUCAAGCUCUCAUUGCCGAGCCCAUCCUCGUUGCCACAAGCCACUCCAUCCAGUUUCCCCCCUUUCCACCGCCACCCACCUUCACACACCGUCCACCCAUCCACCAAACAAAGCCCCUUGACAUCGGCGACCGCUUCGGCCAUGCCGACGCAUUCCUGCGCUCUCAGCUCGGGUUCUUCCCCUCUCCCGGCGUCGACUUCGCGCGCAACAUUCAUGAUCUCUGCUCGUCCAAAGUUUUUGCAGCGCCAAUUGCCUCGGCCUUGCCCACCUCAAUCAUCUUCUUCGUCCAUAAAGCGGAUUUUAUGGUCGAUGAAACUCUCGUCGCCUCGCUUCUCUCCUUCCGCUUUGGUGGACCUGCGUGUUCUAUCGAAGUUCAACGCCUCUCCAACGCUGCGUUCAAUGUACCGGUCGCCUCCCACCACGUUGCCACGCUCAUGGCGGCCUGCUCCCCGAUUGUGGCGCCUCGCAUGUUCGCCACCAUCACCGUGGCGCCUCAUGCCUCGCCGGCCAUGCUGGCGGCGCGGCCAUCCCCGCCGCUACAUGAUGCGCUGGCGCCUCCUCGCGUAGUCGUCGACGACUCAGCACGCUCCUCUCCGUGCAUGGCCUCCAUGUAG